rnacentral:rRNA from 1 species
CCUACGGGAGGCUGCAGUGAGGAAUAUUGGUCAAUGGACGAUAGUCUGAACCAGCCAAGUAGCGUGAAGGAUGACUGCCCUAUGGGUUGUAAACUUCUUUUAUAUGGGAAUAAAAUGUUCCACGUGUGGGAUUUUGUAUGUACCUUAUGAAUAAGGAUCGGCUAACUCCGUGCCAGCAGCCGCGGUAAUACGGAGGAUCCGAGCGUUAUCCGGAUUUAUUGGGUUUAAAGGGAGCGUAGGUGGGUUGUUAAGUCAGUUGUGAAAGUUUGCGGCUCAACCGUAAAAUUGCAGUUGAAACUGGCAGUCUUGAGUACAGUAGAGGUGGGCGGAAUUCGUGGUGUAGCGGUGAAAUGCUUAGAUAUCACGAAGAACUCCGAUUGCGAAGGCAGCUUACUGGACUGCAACUGACACUGAGGCUCGAAAGUGUGGGUAUCAAACAGGAUUAGAUACCCCAGUAGUC